rnacentral:rRNA from 1 species
AUGGAUUAUAACCUCAAAACAGUUUUUUGGAAUGUCCGUGGUCUUAACUCCGGCGCUAAAUGCACGGCCGUCCGCAGCAUGAUCUCUGCUGUCGCGCCUACCAUCGUGUGUCUUCAAGAGACAAAGCUCGCUCAUGUCUCCGACGCCAUUGUCUUGGAGAUGCUCGGUCCGUCCUUCGAGGACUACUUCUUCCUCCCCGCAGCUGGCACAUGCGGUGGCAUCCUCCUUGCUUGUCAACGCUCUACCAUCUCUCUCUCUCUCCAAUCCCCUCAUCGGCGAGCACCACAUUACGGCCUUGGUCUCUUCCCUGGCCGGCGAUGGUCAUUGGUGGCUCACUGGGGUGUACGGGCCACAAGAUGA